rnacentral:tRNA from 1 species
ACCACCAUAUCUCAGUGGUAGAGUACUGGUCUUGUAAACCAGGAGUCGCGAGUUCGAUCCUCGCUGGUGGCU